GGGGAUGUGGCUCAAGAGGUAGGGCACUCGCCUAGCAUGCGUGAGGCACUGGGUUAAAUUCUCAGCACCA
rnacentral:tRNA from 1 species